CCUCUUCCAGGAGAAAAAUACUCCAGCAUCCUCAGGGAGCACAAAACGAGUCUGCCAAGUACAGCACAAUGCAUGCAAUGAAAGCUGCACACUGAGGGAUCCUCCAAGGAGUGGGGGCUGGGAGCAAGUUCCAUUCAUCUGCUGCAGAGAUCCUGCAGGCUGAACAGCCAGAAGAGCAAAGAGUGGAGCUGCAUGUCAAUAUUGGCUGUCAUGUCACCAGGAAGCAAAAACAGCCAGAGCUGAAGGAAGUGGGAGUUCACAUCUUCUCAUGGCAUAAAGUUUAAAUGAAGUGUUUGAAA